rnacentral:rRNA from 1 species
GAUGAACGCUGGCGGCGUGCCUAAUACAUGCAAGUCGAGCGAACAGACGAGGAGCUUGCUCCUCUGACGUUAGCGGCGGACGGGUGAGUAACACGUGGAUAACCUACCUAUAAGACUGGGAUAACUUCGGGAAACCGGAGCUAAUACCGGAUAAUAUAUUGAACCGCAUGGUUCAAUAGUGAAAGACGGUUUUGCUGUCACUUAUAGAUGGAUCCGCGCCGCAUUAGCUAGUUGGUAAGGUAACGGCUUACCAAGGCAACGAUGCGUAGCCGACCUGAGAGGGUGAUCGGCAAACAUGGAACUGAGACACGGUCCAGACCCCUACGGGAGGAAGCAGUAGGGAAUCUUCCGCAAGGGGAGAAAGCUGGACGGAGAAACGCCGGGGGAGGGAAGAAGGUUUUCGGAUGGUAAAACUCUGUUAUUAGGGAAGAAAAAAUGUGUAAGUAAAUAUCCACGUCUUGACGGUACCUAAUCAGAAAGCCACGGCUAACUACGU